rnacentral:rRNA from 1 species
AACGAACGCUGGCGGUAGGCCUAACACAUGCAAGUCGAGCGAAGUCUUCGGACUUAGCGGCGGACGGGUGAGUAACGCGUGGGAACAUACCCAGAGGUACGGAACAACAGUUGGAAAACGACUGCUAAUACCGUAUACGCCCUACGGGGGAAAGAAUUUCGCCUUUGGAUUGGCCCGCGUUGGAUUAGAUAGUUGGUGGGGUAACGGCCUACCAAGUCGACGAUCCAUAGCUGGUUUGAGAGGAUGAUCAGCCACACU